UGGUCUUGUGAUAUCUAAUCUUGGUAAAUAGGAUAGAUAUCCUUGACAACGUUUAGUGGCCUGAGUCAGCAUAUAGUUCAGGGAUGCAUUAGAAUAAGCAGUUAUAGAGUAGAGGUAAAUAUGAGAUAAAGAUACGCUUGUUUGAAUAAUUGUGGUUGUCAUAUAUAUUACUAUUUUACAUCCUAUUCCCACUUUUAAAUUUGUACGUAAAUC
rnacentral:lncRNA from 1 species